rnacentral:rRNA from 1 species
UACGGGGGGGGGCAAGCGUUGUUCGGAAUUACUGGGCGUAAAGGGCGCGCAGGCGGCUUAUUUUGUCAGGCGUGAAAGCCCCGGGCUUAACCUGGGAACUGCGUUUGAUACGGAUGGGCUAGAGUUCGGGAGAGGAGAGUGGAAUUCCCAGUGUAGAGGUGAAAUUCGUAGAUAUUGGGAAGAACACCGGUGGCGAAGGCGGCUCUCUGGACCGAGACUGACGCUGAGGCGCGAAAGCGUGGGGAGCAAACAGG